CGUCGACGAUGAGAAUUAGGGGUAAAAUGACCAAAAUGCCCCUAGGACUACUAAUGAUAAUUCAAGGUCUAUACGUGCUCCAAAUGAUUUGAUAC